rnacentral:tRNA from 1 species
GGAGACAUGGCUUAGUGGUUAAGAGCACUGACUGCUCUUCCAGAGGUCCUGAGUUCAAUUCCCAGUGACCACA